GAGUUUGAUCCUGGCUCAGGACGAACGCUGGCGGCGCGCUUAACACAUGCAAGUCGAGCGAUAACCAUGGCUUCGGCUAUGGGGACAGCGGCGAACGGGUGAGUAACACGUGAGUAAUCUGCCCUCGACACUGGGAUAGCCCGGGGAAACCCGGAUUAAUACCGGAUAGCCUCUCGAGCUUUCGGGCUCGUCAGAAAAGAUGGCUUCGGCUUUCGGUUGAGGAGGAGCUCGCGGCGGAUUAGCUUGUUGGUGAGGUAACGGCCCACCAAGGCGACGAUCCGUAGCUGGUCUGAGAGGAGGACCAGCCACACUGGGACUGAGACACGGCCCAGACCCCUACGGGAGGCAGCAGUGGGGAAUCUUGCGCAAUGGACGAAAGUCUGACGCAGCGACGCCGCGUGGGCGACGAAGGCCUUCGGGUUGUAAAGCCCUGUGGGGAGGGACGAACACUGAUUGUUCAAAUAGGGCAGUCAGCUGACGGUACCUCCUUAGCAAGCACCGGCUAACUCUGUGCCAGCAGCCGCGGUAAGACAGAGGGUGCAAACGUUGCUCGGAAUUACUGGGCGUAAAGCGCGUGUAGGUGGUCACGCAAGUCAGGUGUGAAAGCCCAGGGCUCAACCCUGGAAGUGCACAUGAUACUACGUGGCUGGAGUACUGAAGAGGAGAGCGGAAUUCCCGGUGUAGAGGUGAAAUUCGUAGAUAUCGG
rnacentral:rRNA from 1 species